UACGAAGGGGGCUAGCGUUGCUCGGAAUCACUGGGCGUAAAGCGCACGUAGGUGGCGACGUAAGUCGGGUGUGAAAGCCCCGGGCUCAACCUGGGAAUUGCAUUCGAGACUGCAUUGCUGGAGUACGGAAGAGGAGGGCGGAAUUCCCGGUGUAGCGGUGAAAUGCGUAGAUAUCGGGAGGAACAUCAGUGGCGAAGGCGGCCCUCUGGUCCAGUACUGACACUCAAGUGCGAAAGCGUGGGGAGCAACAGG
rnacentral:rRNA from 1 species